CGUAGGGUGCGAGCGUUAAUCGGAAUUACUGGGCGUAAAGCGUGCGCAAGCGGUUUUGUAAGACAGAUGUGAAAUCCCCGGGCUCAACCUGGGACCUGCAUUUGUGACUGCAAGGCUAGAGUACGGUAGAGGGGGAUGGAAUUCCGCGUGUAGCAGUGAAAUGCGUAGAUAUGCGGAGGAACACCGAUGGCGAAGGCAAUCCCCUGGACCUGUACUGACGCUCAUGCACGAAAGCGUGGGGAGCAAACAGGAUUAGAUACCCUGGUAGUCCACGCCCUAAACGAUGUCAACUGGUUGUUGGGUCUUUACUGACUCAGUAACGAAGCUAACGCGUGAAGUUGACCGCCUGGGGGAGUACGGCCGCAAGGUUG
rnacentral:rRNA from 1 species